rnacentral:lncRNA from 1 species
GGAUGGCAGAGCUGGGAGAAACCUUAGAACAGAGAAUGUCAGAACUGGGAGGACCCUUAGAACAGAGAAUAUCAGAGGUGGGAGGGAGCUUAGAACAGAGAAUGUCAGAGCUGGAAGGGAGCUUAGAACAGAGAAUGUCAGAGCUAGGAGGGAGCUUAGAACAGAGAAUGUCAGAGCUGGGAGGACCCUUAGAACCCAGAAUAUCAGAGGUGGGAGGGAGCUUAGAACCCAGAAUGUCAGAGCUGGGAGGGAGCUUAGAACAGAGAACAUCAGAGCUGUGAGAGAGCUUAGAACAGAGAAUGUCAGAGCUGGGAGGGAGCUUAGAACAGAGAAUGUCAGAGCUGGGAGGGCCCUUAGAACCCAGAAUAUCAGAACUAGGAGAGCCCUUAGGACAAAUGUCAGAGUUGGGAGAACCCUUAGAACAGAGAAUUUCAGAGCUGGGAGAAUCUCUAGAACACAGAAUAUCAGAACUGGGAGGGCCCUUGGAACAUGAACAGAUGGGGAAACAGCCUCUGGUUGGGAAAGUAAUGGACCUAAGGCUAUACUACUAUGCCAUCUAAAGCAAGUCUUUUCCCCUCUAGGGGCUUCAGUUUCUUCUUUUCUCAGAUAAGGAGUUAGACCAAGAUGUCUCUCAAGUGCCUCUUUAAUAACCUCUGAAGCCAAGGAGCUAAUAAAUAUUUAUUGAAUCAGGUUGAAUAAUAUUCAGCUUGUAGUUCUUUAUCAUCCAAGUGUUACCCAUACCAUAUCCAAGGUUUUUCCCAUGUUGGCCCUAUUUGUACAUAUAUCUGCAUUCUCAGAGUUCUCGUUCAGUUUUUCUUUCUUUCUUUCUUUCUUUCUUUCUUUCUUUCUUUCUUUCUUUCUUUCUUUCUUUCUUUCUUUCUUUCUUUCUUUCUUUCUUUCUUUCUUUCUUUCUUUCUUUCUUUCUUUCUUCCUUCCUUCCUUCCUUCCUUUCUUCCUUUCUUUUUCUUUUUUUCUUCCUUUCUUCCUUCCUUCAUUUCUCUUUCUUUCUUUCUUUCUUUCUUUCUUUCUUUCUUUCUUUCUUUCUUUCUUUCUUUCUUUCUUUCUUUCUUUCUUUCUUUCUGUCUCUCUGUCUUUCUUUCUUCCUUCCUUCCUUCCUUCCUUCCAUCCUUUCUUUUUCUUUUUUUCUUCCUUUCUUCCUUUCUACCUUCCUUCCUUCCUUCCUUCCUUCCUUCCUUCCUUCCUUCCUUUCUUCCGAUCUGCUGUUUUUUGUUCUUCUCUUAAAAAAAAAAACAA